CAGCACCUGCCUUGCACACGUGCCAGCAGCUCCCAGGGGCCCUCUGCCCUGGCUGGCUCCUUUGACUGGCGUAGCCAGGCUGUGCCCCCUCCCGGCCCCAGCAGUUUAUCGGCGUUUAGCACCACAACCACCAAACAGCGCCAUUCCAAAUAGGAAUGCUUCCUGAAUUGAGGCUAAUCAUUGAUUUGUAGCCCACAAAUAUACUCCUAAUUGUUAUUGAAGUUUUAUCAAAUACAUCUGCAUUCAGUACUGCUAAAAUAAGCAGCUACAGCUUGCAUCUUUUCCAAAGCACACUCCAUCAAGAUGCGCUGAAGUUUGUGAGCCAUGCGUUGCUCUGCAGCUUCAGAUUCCCUCUUCAGCUCAUUUUCCAGAAAAACCAUCAUGACUUCUGGGAGUAAGAGAGACCCUAUCUGGAAAUAGUCUGAAGAAAUUUUUCCCCUGGGUAAAAAAGGAAAAUGUGUCAGGAGUAAGCAGUGCCCAGUUGCAAGAAUGAAACAUAAGGAAACCUGCUUAUUGGGAGAAAAUGAUGUGGAUGUGGCUGAGUGGAUCAGCUGAAAAUAAGCUUGGAUUUUAAAGAUCGCGCCAAGGCAAUACCACCCCCACAGGAGAUGCAUUAUAUUUCCGGCUGACAAAAUGACCAUCAACAUGCCUUUGUUUAUGUUGGCUUAUUUAGCUUGUAUUAGUGAUAACAUGUUUA